UACGUAGGGUGCGAGCGUUAAUCGGAAUUACUGGGCGUAAAGCGUGCGCAGGCGGUUCGCCAAGUCAGGUGUGAAAUCCCCGGGCUUAACCUGGGAAUUGCGCUUGAAACUAGCGGGCUUGAGUGUGGCAGAGGGGGGUGGAAUUCUCGGUGUAGAGGUGAAAUUCGUAGAUAUCGAGAGGAACACCGGUGGCGAAGGCGGCCUUCUGGACAGUGACUGACGCUGAGACGCGAAAGCGUGGGGAGCAAACAGG
rnacentral:rRNA from 1 species